GGCCCUACGGGGCGCAGCAGGCGCGAAAACUUUGCAAUGCGGGAAACCGUGACAAGGGAACUCUGAGUGCCCGUAAAAUCGGGCUGUCCAUUGGUGUAAAAAACCAGUGAAGAAAGGGCCGGGCAAGACCGGUGCCAGCCGCCGCGGUAAUACCGGCGGCUCGAGUGGUGGCCACUAUUACUGGGCUUAAAGCGUUCGUAGCUGGUCUGUUAAGUCUCUGGGGAAAUCUUCCGGCUUAACCGGAAGGCGUCUCAGGGAUACUGGCAGACUAGGACCGGAGAG
rnacentral:rRNA from 1 species